UGUUGUCGGGCUGCAGGCCGGACGAGGAGGAGGAGGAGGAGGAGGAGGAGGCGAAGAGGCAGUGCAUGAUGGGACAGAGGGGCUCAUGGGCUCUGAGGGCUUCGGUCAGCAGGUGAUGCUCCUUGGACAGAGAAUCCACCUGGAAGAUAAGCUCACAGGCCUGAAGAGAGGAGGAGGAAGAAAUCAUCAUGUUGAAGUCCUUCCUGAUGGAACCGGUUUUGGGGGAACCAGGAAUCGAACCACCAACCCAGGGAUCAGCAGCCAACUCUUCCUACUGUGACAAGUCUAAAUGUUCAUGUAAACAAAAGCUCAAGCAUCAUCAUCA